rnacentral:lncRNA from 1 species
CCAGAUUGUGUGCCCUUCCCCACACGAAGAGCCUCAGACAUUGCCAAUUCACCUUUCCGGAGUUGUCUUCUGUUCCGCGUGGGGAGAAGAUGAUCGAGGGGGCUGCUGGGAGCAUAGGGGAGGCACCUUGUGCCCACACACAUCUGCAGAUGAACUCUUGGGGUCAUGCGGAGUGAGUCCUAACUGUGUACGGCUUUAGAGGGCGUCUCCAACUCAACCAACUGCUCAGUGCUCAGAGCAGUCUUAUCUCAUGGAUACAUCAUGACAGAUGCCAAUGGCAAUGUAAUCAUCAGAAAGUAUUCUUUAAAUUUCUUGAAGCAAGCAACCAGAAAUAUUAAAGAUAAGCCUAAAUAUAAGGCAGCCCUCUG